rnacentral:rRNA from 1 species
CCUACGGGUGACAGCAGUGGGGGAUAUUGCACAAUGGGGGGAACCCUGAUGCAGCGACGCCGCGUGGGUGAAGAAGCGCCUCGGCGCGUAAAGCCCUGUCAGCAGGGAAGAAAAUGACGGUACCUGAAGAAGAAGCCCCGGCUAACUACGUGCCAGCAGCCGCGGUAAAACGUAGGGGGCAAGCGUGAUCCGGAUUUACUGGGUGUAAAGGGGGCGCAGACGGCGUUGCAAGUCAAGAGUGAAGGCCGGGGGCCCAACCUGGGAACUGAACUUGGAACUGGGAGGCUGGAGUGCGGGAGAGGAUAGCGGAAGGCAAGGGGUAGGGGGGAAAUGCGGAGAGAGCAGGAGGAA